UUACAGCCAUAUCAGAUUGAAACGCUGGUUCUCAUAUGAUUUACAAAGUUAAGCAAUAUUGAACAUGGUCAGUACCUAGAUGAGUGAUCACUUGGGAAUUUCAGGUGCUGCUAG